UACACUGCAUGGUAAAAGCAUUCAGCAGUUUAUUCCUGCUGGGUGUUCAAAGGACAGUGCGUUAUAAAUUCAGUAUCUGGCAUCGUUGGUUUUCUCGGCUUUAAGCAUGUUAAACCUGGUAAUUUGGCACACACACAC